rnacentral:rRNA from 1 species
UACAGAGGGGGCAAGCGUUGUUCGGAAUUACUGGGCGUAAAGGGCGCGUAGGUGGCCUUCUAAGUUGAACGUGAAAUCCCUGGGCUCAACCCAGGAACUGCGUCCAAGACUGGGAGGCUUGAAUCCGGGGGAGGGAUGCGGAAUUCCAGGUGUAGCGUUGAAAUGCGUAGAUAUCUGGAGGAACACCGGUGGCGAAGGCGGCAUCCUGGACCGGUAUUGACACUGAGGCGCGAAAGCCAGGGGAGCAAACGGG